ACAAUUUUUGGUUUACCACAUACAUGAAUUUGAUUAAAUAAUAAGAAAUUUAAUUUUAUUUCUCAAAACCAAACUAAGGAAAGAACAUGUCAAUUUUUGGUUUACCACAUACCACAUCCUUUUAUUAGGUUUUGAACUGUCAAAAGUUCAAACCUUCUGAUUAGAAAGAAAAGGACGUGUCACUAAAGCAGGAAUUCUUUGGCUUGAGAUUAGAUUUUAGUACGGAUGGAUAUUUUCAUUUUUAUUUUAUUUGUAAUUUUUUAUAUAUCACUAUAUUUUUAAAAAUUUAUUAGUUUGUCUCCGGGUAUUUCAUUUACUAGCCAGGAGAAAGCCUGGAGGAGGCUGUGAGAAGAGAAACAUAGGAGGAGACUGGUAUUCAAGUUGGAGAAGUUGUAUAUCACAGUUCUCAGCCAUGGCCUGUUGGACCAAACAGCAUGCCAUUUCAGCUGAUGGUUGGAUUCUUUGCAUAUGCUAAAUCCCUCGAAAUUAAUGUGGAUAAGGAAGAGUUGGAAGUUUGUGCGGUGGAAUCCAUGUGAAAUUGCACAGUUCAACAAAAAUUAAUUUGCCAUCACUAAAGAUUUUGCAACUGGACAUCGACUCUGUGGAUUGUAUUGACACCCUUCUCUCUGGAUGUUCUACACUGGAAAGUUUGGAUAUUUGUUUUGCUCCUAAAUGUUUGUCCACAAUUCGCAUGCCACAUUCUUUGAAGAGUUUGAAAAUAGGUGUUGAGAAUAAUGAUAUUGGAACUCACUUUGAAAUUGUUUCACCCGGACUCGAAUACCUCAGCAUAAAUCAAAUCACAGCAUUUGGUCCUAUCACUGUUUGUAACUUCCCAGAGGUGACUCAAGUGUUUCUUGAUGUCUUUUCACUCGAAGAAUCUGUCAACGCUUUACUUAAUCUUCUCCUAGCUAUCUCCGCAACAAAUACAUUAGAGCUUCGUCGUUCCACAACAAAGGUGAAGUUUAUUUACCAUAAUUUUCAUUUUGUGUAUUUUAAGAAACUAAAAUGUUCUAUUCCCAGAUCAUAAUGUAAACGGAAGUGAAUGCCAUUCAAAACAACCUACUGGUUCUGCAAAUUUGUAGGAUUGACUGACUAUUUUGUGGACAGCUUUGGAUAUAAGGCUUAUCUAUUUUAUUAUAUUGUUAUGUAUCUCUUGAAGGCAUACUGUAGCUAUAGAAGUUUUGAAUUUUUCAAUUUGUAAAGAUUAUGUACACCAAGAAUUGGAAACAUUUCCAUUUUAGACUAAAUAAAGUCAUGUUAUAAUGAUAUUAUGUCA